UGUUGGUGAUGGAUUAUUGUUGUACCAGUUGGUACUCACCCAUCUGGAUACAGUGGACGGUUGCUUCAAAGAUACCAAACAGUUGGACCAAGUGUUUACGUCGGGGAAAGUACACCAGGCUAUCAAGGCGAUGUCUAAGGUAGUAGGAAUACCAGAGAAUGCCGUCAGCGUUGUCCGAAACUACUCAGUUGAGAGGCAAAGUGAUACCAAGUCCACAGUAUUGUUUCUUCACACCUUGAAACAGAUUGUCAGUGUUGCGUGUGAACAGGAAGAAAAGAGGCAACAAAUGUCACAGUAGCGGAUCAAAACACAUUGCACAAUUAACCGAGUCUGCAAUUCAUAUUUUGCUUAUUCUGCAUUAAACUCUACCUUAAGCGGGUUUCACAGCUUACAUAUUGCAAACGCUUACAUUGAAUAAAGCAUCUCUUUUAUCAUUAUUCAGAUUAUUUUAAGGGCUUCAGGCUCAGGAGAAUACCUUACAAUGUUACUCGCCAAAAUGUGAAGUCAUGAUAGUGUAGUGUAGUAAGAAUCAAGUUCUCACUGAACGUUGACUCAAAAUAUCAGUCUGAGAAUGCAAGAGUGAACUGACUGAAAACAGUAAUGAUACCGGUUUUAUUUCAUUAGAUUUGAUUAAUUAGUUAAAUCAAUACUGCUGUGUUAACAAGAUAUCUGUGGAUGAUUUCAUGUGUUUCGAUAUGUUGUCACAAUCGGUAUUCAGCUUCUUGAUAAUGCACCUAUACAUUGUUUAGAAUUUGUAGAUUUAUAUAGUGAAUACGAGUAUUGUGUAAUGCAACCAUUUGUCUAAAGAACAUGUUUCAUUCUCUUUUUGAGACAUAACAGUUCAUGAUGAUUUAAUAUAUUCGAGAGUCAUAAGUACAUGUGCCCAGAAACUGGUCAAUGAGGUCCCUUAGCAUAUGUUAUAUUUGGGAUUACACUUUCUUUGUAGAAUACAGAUU